rnacentral:tRNA from 2 species
GCCGGAGUGUUGGAAUUGGCAGACAAAACGGACUUAAAAUCCGUUGUCCCUUGGGGGACGUGAGGGUUCGAGUCCCUCCUCCGGCA